UGGGGAAUUUUGGACGAAUGGGCGAAAGCCUGAUCCAGCAAUGCCGCGUGUGUGAAGAAGGCCUUCGGGUUGUAAAGCACUUUUGUCCGGAAAGAAAUCCUUGGCUCUAAUACAGUCGGGGGAUGACGGUACCGGAAGAAUAAGCACCGGCUAACUACGUGCCAGCAGCCGCGGUAAUACGUAGGGUGCAAGCGUUAAUCGGAAUUACUGGGCGUAAAGCGUGCGCAGGCGGUUUGCUAAGACCGAUGUGAAAUCCCCGGGCUCAACCUGGGAACUGCAUUGGUGACUGGCAGGCUAGAGUAUGGCAGAGGGGGGUAGAAUUCCACGUGUAGCAGUGAAAUGCGUAGAGAUGUGGAGGAAUACCGAUGGCGAAGGCAGCCCCCUGGGCCAAUACUGACGCUCAUGCACGAAAGCGUGGGGAGCAAAACAGGAUUAGAUACCCCUGGUAGUCCACGCCCUAAAACGAUGUCAACUAGUUGUUGGGGAUUCAUUUCCUUAGUAACGUAGCUAACGCGUGAAGUUGACCGCCUGGGGAGUACGGUCGCAAGAUUAAAACUCAAAGGAAUUGACGGGGUCAUAGCUGUUUCC
rnacentral:rRNA from 1 species